AGAACAUCAAGACAAAUGGGUGUCCCUUGUCUGAGGAGGAGAAGGCUUUGGGAGAACAUUGAGUUAAGCAGUGAGGUAACUGUGAUGAGAUCUUUCUUGCUCGGUAAAUGUGUUUACUUUUUUCACUGGUAUUUAUACUAGUUAAUGUGUUGCUCCAGAUAAAUCUACUUCCUGCGUCCAUCUUUCAGCUUGUUCUCCUCUCUUGGGAGUUGACAAAUGGUUUGUGUUUGACACCAUUUAUCAGCUGAGUCCCUGCUGGGUGCUGCCAGAGGCUUGCUCAGACUACUGUAGAGAAAAAGAGAUUCUGGAAGGAGAGCACAUGCAGGUA
rnacentral:lncRNA from 1 species